rnacentral:piRNA from 1 species
AGAGACAGAAGGUAGAUUCAUGGUUGCCGG